rnacentral:rRNA from 1 species
UACGUAGGGUGCGAGCGUUGUCCGGAAUUAUUGGGCGUAAAGGGCUCGUAGGCGGUUUGUCGCGUCGGGAGUGAAAACACCGGGCUUAACUCGGUGCUUGCUUUCGAUACGGGCAGACUAGAGGCAUGCAGGGGAGAACGGAAUUCCUGGUGUAGCGGUGAAAUGCGCAGAUAUCGGGAAGAACACCCGUGGCGAAGGCGGCUCUCUGGGACGGUACUGACGCUGAGACGCGAAAGCGUGGGGAGCGAACAGG